CUCUUAGAUUUCUCAAGAUUUGAUAUCAUCUUAAGUAUGGAUUGUUAGAGAAAUAUAAAGUAAUUAUUAACUGCGAAAGUAAAAUUAUAAGUCUUCAUUCACCAAAAGUGAAAUAAAAUUUUAUGCAUGAGUUUUGUUUGCUAUUUCCUAACCUUUGAGUAAACAAGAACAUGGAUGUCGAUCCUGAAGUAUUUACAACCCCUAUGGUUUGUAACUUUUCGAAUGUCUUUUCAGAGGAACUGCCUGAU
rnacentral:lncRNA from 1 species